GUUAAAAAAUCUAGUCACAAUACUAAAAGGGGAAUAUGGUGAAUGGAGAGGGUGUCCACGUCCUCAAAUUAAUUCAGGCCAAUAAAGAGAUGACAUAUCAGCUUUAGUUCCACGUAUUACACAAACAAAUAGACAGAACAUUUUUUUUUUGACAUCUAUAUGCUUUGACUUCAGCUUCUUCGUUUUAAUCGUUACCCUAAUUCGCUUCUUCUUCUUAAAUCAGUGUUCACCAUCAAUAAAUGUCAAGAAAAUCUUUUCAUAUUCUGAAUCUAUCCUGUAAAAAUCUGCCAUAUCCUCCUCAGUUGCCGUAGAUCCUGACGCUGGCAACGACACCCAACUUCAUGUUCGAUUUCUGCUCCAAUGAAAAAAAACUAGAAAACCUUCACCGGAGUUUACCUCUUCCUCCCGCCGGCGUGUUGGCUCAAUCAGGUUAUGUACUUAUCAGCUGCUCUUCGUCUUUAUCCUCGAAUAAUGGUUCAACUCCAGAGUCCUUUAACGAGAGGUACUGUUAAUCUUCAGUUGCUAAGCUUAACGUCCACAAAGUUUCAUAAAAAUGGUCAAUGAAGCACUUUUUGGCUAUAGGGGUUUUUGUUUUGAACACAAGGCUAUAGGGUUUAAGAUUUGAUUAAUAUAUAUUGCAAAAUCUGAACUUUAAUUGGUUGAAGUGAAUCUUGAACUGUGGAACUCUGGUUGUGUUUAUUAAAUUGUGCUGCCAUCAUUGUGAUUUUCAGUGGCUUAAAGGGGCAGUCAUCUUUCCUGGAAUGCCUUCCUUCGAUGGAGAAGGGUUUUGCUUAAAGACUUAAAGUCAGUGGAGCAGCUCUUACUGGAGACGAGGAGCAUAAUAUCGAUCCAAAGGCGAUUGCAAGAGAGGUUUCAGCAGUGAAUCGGCUUGGCAUUGAGGUUGCUAUUGUUGUUGGAGGAGGAAAUAUAUCUUUAGUGGAUCCAUCUGGGCUGGGUGCAGUGGCUUUGACCGUUCCUCUACUGAUUGUAUCGGGUCAUGUGUUUACUGCAGGUAGUCGUCUACACAGCAGCAUCUUGAAUUGAGGUUUUGUCUCCUUCAGUUCUACCUGAGAAAUCUGAAAACAAAUCGGUUAGUGAAGAAGCUUCAAGUGUAAACUCUGCCAAUAUUACAGUAGUUUGUUUGAUUUCAGACUGGUACUUUUAAGCUUCAAAGAUUCAUGGUAUCGUAACAGAUUGAAUGCAUGACGGUUUGUGUGUACGUUACUAAGAUGAGAGAUAAACAAAUGAGCCAUUCAUUUA